AUUGAACGCUGGCGGCAGGCUUAACACAUGCAAUGUUAGUCGAGCGAGAAAGCACUUCGGUGUGAGUAGAGCGGCGGACGGGUGAGUAACGCGUAGGAAUUUGCCCAGUAGUGGGGGACAACAUGUGGAAACGCAUGCUAAUACCGCAUACGCCCUAUGGGGGAAAGCAGGGGAUUUUUGGACCUUGCGCUAUUGGAGAAGCCUGCGUCGGAUUAGCUAGUUGGUGGGGUAAAGGCCCACCAAGGCGACGAUCCGUAGCUGGUCUGAGAGGAUGAUCAGCCACACUGGGACUGAGAUACGGCCCAGACUCCUAUGGGAGGCAGCAGUGGGGAAUAUUGGACAAUGGGCGAAAGCCUGAUCCAGCCAUGCCGCGUGUGUGAAGAAGGCCUUAGGGUUGUAAAGCACUUUCAGUAGGGAGGAAAAGUUAGUCGUUAAUAGCGGCUAACCCUGACGUUACCUACAGAAGAAGCACCGGCAAACUCCGUGCCAGCAGUUGCGGUAAUACGGAGGGUGCGAGCGUUAAUCGGAAUUACUGGGCGUAAAGCGCACGUAGGCGGCCUUUUAAGCUAGAUGUGAAAGCCCUGGGCUUAACCUGGGAACUGCAUUCAAAACUGUCAGGCUAGAGUAUGGUAGAGGAUAGUGGAAUUUCAGGUGUAGCGGUGAAAUGCGUAGAGAUCUGAAGGAACACCAGUGGCGAAGGCGACUUUCUGGACCACAACUGACGCUGAGGUGCGAAAGCGUGGGUAGCGAACAGGAUUAGAUACCCUGGUAGUCCACGCCGUAAACGAUGUCAACUAGCCGUUGGGUUAUUAUUACUUAGUGGCGCAGCUAACGCGAUAAGUAGACCGCCUGGGGAGUACGGUCGCAAGAUUAAAACUCAAAUGAAUUGACGGGGGCCCGCACAAGCGGUGGAGCAUGUGGUUUAAUUCGAAGCAACGCGAAGAACCUUACCAGGUCUUGACAUCCUCUGACAAUCCUAGAGAUAGGACGUUCCCCUUCGGGGGACAGAGUGACAGGUGGUGCAUGGUUGUCGUCAGCUCGUGUCGUGAGAUGUUGGGUUAAGUCCCGCAACGAGCGCAACCCUUAUUCUUAGUUGCCAGCAUUAAGUUGGGCACUCUAAGGAGACUGCCGGUGACAAACCGGAGGAAGGUGGGGAUGACGUCAAAUCAUCAUGCCCCUUAUGACCUGGGCUACACACGUGCUACAAUGGAUGGUACAAAGGGCUGCAAAACCGCGAGGUCGAGCCAAUCCCAUAAAACCAUUCCAAGUUCGGAUUGGAGUCUGCAACUCGACUCCAUGAAGUUGGAAUCGCUAGUAAUCGCGGAUCAGCAUGCCGCGGUGAAUACGUUCCCGGGUCU
rnacentral:rRNA from 1 species